rnacentral:rRNA from 1 species
GACAGAGGAUGCAAGCGUUAUCCGGAAUGAUUGGGCGUAAAGCGUGCGCAGGCGGUUUGUUAAGUCUGCUGUGAAAUCCCCGAGCUCAACUUGGGAAUUGCAGUGGAUACUGGCAGGCUGGAGUAUGGUAGAGGAAGGUGGAAUUCCCGGUGUAGCAGUGAAAUGCGUAGAGAUCGGGAGGAACACCAGUGGCGAAGGCGGCCUUCUGGACCAAUACUGACGCUCAUGCACGAAAGCGUGGGGAGCAAACAGG